CUGAUGCGCCUUCUUUCCUGUGCCACAGUUGUUGUAAGCAUCAAAUUUCUUCUCAUCUGGAGGUCGAAGGCAUGAGUGAAGCAGGGAUAUCCAUUUCAUGUAUUAACCGAAUUUCGCAAAUGGACCACGGUGGAGAUGAGGAUAGGUGGAUUUAAUUCCUUGGUAGAGUCUGGAAUUCUGUUUUUCCCAAAUGUGGUAGAUUGUUUCCCUCAGAGUGAGCUUCGAGACCACGGUGGAGAUGGACUUCGAUCGCCGGUGAAGAGAUGCCCAGGCAACCAUGGAGAACCAGUCCAUUUUUUUUAUAGGUAAAAGACUGAUACACACAAUAGAGGUUGAGGGGUCUGGUGUUUGCUUCUUUUGUCGUCGUGGAUGUUUAUUUUCAUGUCCCUAUGCAGCCGCCAGUAUGGAUUUCCAUUGAUAACUUGGCUCUCUCAGUUAUGGUACCGAAAAUGAAGCUCAGAAUCAUGUCAAUACAUACCAUACUUCCGAACUGAGUGAUGGUAGAAUGGUAGAGCAUGGGGCACAAUAUCAUCGGACAAGUUCAUGGUUGUACUUCUUGCUUCUUUAAUCAUGG